rnacentral:rRNA from 1 species
CCCUUAGAUGUUCUGGGAUGCACGCGCGUUACACUGAUUCGUUCAACGAGUUUAUGACCUUGCCUGAUGAGGUGGGGGAAUCUUUUCAAAUCGCAUCGUGAUGGGGAUAGAGUAUUGUAACUGUUAGUCGUCAACGAGGAAUUCCUAGUAAGUACGUGUCAUCAGCUCGUACUGAUUAUGUCCCUGCCCUUUGUACACACCGCCCGUCGCUCCUACCGAUUGAGUGCUCAGGUGAAUAGUAUGGACUGCAUCAGUGUUCGGUCUCCGAAUGUUGACGCGAGAAAUUCUGUGAAUCUUAUUGCUUAGAGGAAGGAGAAGUCGUAACA